rnacentral:rRNA from 1 species
ACGGAGGAUGCGAGCGUUAUCCGGAUUUAUUGGGUUUAAAGGGUGCGUAGGUGGUUUUUUAAGUCAGCGGUGAAAGUUUGUGGCUCAACCAUAAAAUUGCCGUUGAAACUGGGGAACUUGAGUAUAUUUGAGGUAGGCGGAAUGCGUGGUGUAGCGGUGAAAUGCAUAGAUAUCACGCAGAACUCCGAUUGCGAAGGCAGCUUACUAAACUAUAACUGACACUGAAGCACGAAAGCGUGGGGAUCAAACAG